rnacentral:lncRNA from 1 species
GCUUUGUUAAACAAGUGCUUGAAGGCAGUAUGCUUGGUAAAAGUCAUCGCCAUUCUCUAAUCUUGAGUACCCAGGGACACGAUACACUGCGGAAGGCUGCAGGGACCUCUGCCCAGGAAAGCCAGGAUCCAGUAUCUGCCGGAGGAGCCCCACCUUCUGCUACUAUUAUGUUCUUCAGAUGAGUAGAAGAGAGUGGGGAGGGAGAGAGCAGGAAGAAGAAAGGAAGAAUAAUGUCUUGAAAUUGUUUUCUAAGGAUAAUGGUCUCCAGCUUCGUCAAUGUUCCUGCAAAGGACAUGAUGCUGACUUUGAAGAUGCAAGCUUCCACAUCUACAGCCUCAAGGAAACAAAUUCAGCCAACCAACUGAGGGAGCUUUCCUUGUCCUGCCUCAAGAUGAGAUCACAGUCUGCCCAACACCAUGAUUUAGGCCUUGUGACACCUGGUAUGGAAGACCCAGUUAAGUUCUCUCCAAACUCUUGACCCACAGAACCUGUGAGAAAAUAUAUGGAUAUUAUUUUAAACUGCUAAAUUUGUAGUAAUUUGUUAUGCAGCAAUAAAAAAAACUAAUGCAAGGAGAUAUCAA